rnacentral:rRNA from 1 species
GACGUAGGGCGCGAGCGUUGUCCGGAUUUAUUGGGCGUAAAGAGCUCGUAGGCGGCUUGUCACGUCGGGUGUGAAAGCCCGGGGCUUAACCCCGGGUCUGCAUUCGAUACGGGCUAGCUAGAGUGUGGUAGGGGAGAUCGGAAUUCCUGGUGUAGCGGUGAAAUGCGCAGAUAUCAGGAGGAACACCGGUGGCGAAGGCGGGUCUCUGGGCAGUAACUGACGCUGAGGAGCGAAAGCGUGGGGAGCGAACAGG